rnacentral:lncRNA from 1 species
UAGUCUUUGUGUUACAGACAGAAACCUUUAACUCUGAACACUUACUCAAAUCGUAAGUGACCCACCCAUAUUUACACCCGGCGUCUCUGACCCUGAUACCCACGUUCUUCCUAUAAAAUGACACCCCCCAGGAGCCGUGAUCUCUCCUCCCACAUCCCCUACACAUUUUCCAGUAUGACAUAAAACAUACUGCACUUCAUGUCACCUUCUUGAGGGUUAAAGAAGAUUCUCGCAAGGAAAGGGAUUCUAGGAAAAAGGAGAAAUGGAGCAGAUAACCCAAGAUUAGAAUCAGGAAAUGUUUGGACAGCCUUGAAUUUCCCCAGCAAUACAUGGGGUGACCCCAACUGAAUACUGACUUCCUGUGACAACCUCUGGAAUACAGAUGGAAAAGACCGUAAGACAAGCACCCUGACUAGAGGUAUCACCAGUACCUAGCACCGUCGGAUUUCAACCCCAGAGAGAGGCAGAACGGUCAUGAGGUGGGAGGUGAACUCUUCC